rnacentral:snRNA from 1 species
UGGGUCAACUCAACUCAAC